UACGUAGGGUGCAAGCGUUAAUCGGAAUUACUGGGCGUAAAGCGUGCGCAGGCGGUGAUGUAAGACAGGCGUGAAAUCCCCGGGCUUAACCUGGGAACUGCGCUUGUUACUGGCAAGCUGGAGUGUGGCAGAGGGGGGUGGAAUUCCACGUGUAGCAGUGAAAUGCGUAGAGAUGUGGAGGAACACCGAUGGCGAAGGCAGCCCCCUGGGCUAACACUGACGCUCAUGCACGAAAGCGUGGGGAGCAAACAGG
rnacentral:rRNA from 1 species